GACGAACGCUGGCGGCGUGCUUAACACAUGCAAGUCGAACGAUGAAGCCGGAGCUUGCUCUGGUGAAUUAGUGGCGAACGGGUGAGUAACACGUGAGUAACCUGCCCUUGACUCUGGGAUAACUGCGGGAAACUGUAGCUAAUACCGGAUACGACCCUCGGAGGCAUCUCCUGGGGGUGGAAAGAAUUUCGGUCAAGGAUGGACUCGCGGCCUAUCAGCUAGUUGGUGAGGUAAAGGCUCACCAAGGCGACGACGGGUAGCCGGCCUGGGAGGGUGACCGGCCACACUGGGACUGAGACACGGCCCAGACUCCUACGGGAGGCAGCAGUGGGGAAUAUUGCGCAAUGGGCGCAAGCCUGAUGCAGCAACGCCGCGUGAGGGAUGACGGCCUUCGGGUUGUAAACCUCUUUUAGCAGAGAAGAAGCGCAAGUGACGGUACCUGCAGAAAAAGCACCGGCUAACUACGUGCCAGCAGCCGCCGUAA
rnacentral:rRNA from 1 species